rnacentral:tRNA from 1 species
AUCUUCUUAAUAUAAUUAAUAUUAGUGACUUCCAAUCACUAAAUCUCAAUUUAAAUUUGAGGGAAGAUA